CCCCCACAAAUUUUCAAGUUCACCUAAGGCGUGACUUUGAGUAUUGGCUCGGUAAAAAAGCAGGGGGACGGGGGAGGUCACCCAUCAUGCCCAAGAUGGAAUAGUUUUGGCCAUAGCUCGAAACAGUGGAUAGUGUCAGUAGAAAGUAUUGGCGAUAAAUAAUGCUGAUCAGAACUACGAGUUUUACGUGUUGACACAAGCCAAGGUUUAUUGUAGAAUUCUUCUU